rnacentral:ncRNA from 1 species
CCAGCAGCCGCGGUAAUUCCAGCUCCAAAAGUAUAUAUUUAAGUUGUUGCGGUUAAAAAGCUCGUAGUUGGAUUUUGGGCGCAGGCGGCCGGUCCGUCGCAAGGCGUGUACUGGACGUCCUGGCCUUCCCUCCGGUUCUCCGCCGGUGCUCUUGACUGAGUGUCGGCGGCGGCCGGAACGUUUACUUUGAAAAAAUUAGAGUGUUCAAAGCAGGCUCUCGAGCCUGGAUAAUGGUGCAUGGAAUAAUGGAAUAGGACCUCGGUUCUAUUUUGUUGGUUUUCGGAGCGCGAGGUAAUGAUUAAGAGGGACAGACGGGGGCAUUCGUACUGUGCCGUUAGAGGUGAAAUUCUUGGAUCGGCGCAAGACGAACGACUGCGAAAGCAUUUGCCAAGAAUGUUUUCUUUAAUCAAGAGCGAAAGUCAGAGGUUCGAAGACGAUCAGAUACCGUCCUAGUUCUGACUAUAAACGAUGCCAACCAGCGAUCGGGGGGCGUUACAUUGACGACCCCUCCGGCAGCUUACGGGAAACCAAAGUCUUUGGGUUCCGGGGGAAGUAUGGUUGCAAAGCUGAAACUUAAAGGAAUUGACGGAAGGGCACCACCAGGAGUGGAGCCUGCGGCUUAAUUUGACUCAACACGGGAAAUCUCACCCGGCCCGGACACAGUGAGGAUUGACAGAUUGAGAGCUCUUUCUUGAUUCUGUGGCGUGGUGGUAGCAUGGCCGUUCUUAGUUGGUGGAGCGAUUUGUCUGGUUAAUUCCGAUAACGAACGAGACUCUGGCUUGCUAAAUAGUUACGCGA